CCGUUUUGCUGAUUGCAUGUCAAAACAAUGAUUUUGCAUUUUAACCUCCAAAACCAUAAAGAGUGCGUCCUUGUCUCUUCAAAGCGUAUACAACAUCCAUAGCCGUCACAGUCUUCCGUUUAGCGUGUUCGGUGUACGUAACCGCAUCACGAAUAACGUUUUCUAGAAAAACUUUUAAGACACCCCGAGUUUCCUCGUAAAUCAAGCCAGAUAUGCGUUUAACACCACCACGACGAGCCAAGCGACGAAUUGCUGGUUUCGUGAUACCCUGGAUGUUAUCACGAAGUACCUUCCUAUGACGCUUCGCUCCUCCCUUUCCCAAUCCCUUUCCUCCCUUUCCACGACCAGUCAUAUUGAAAAAUUUACUGGUUACUAGUGAAAGAUUUUGUCCUGAUGAUUAUCACUUCAAUAUCAACGUUACCACUAAGGUUACUAAAUUCGUCUCUGGUGUCGCAUCGAGUGCCAGCGCUUUUAUACUUUCGAACAGAAUCUCCGGAGCUAUGCUGUUGAGACCCUACCCCACCAACUACAUAUCACAUGGGCAGUCAAGUCAGCAAAGGGAUCUCCCCUCCGUUUUGCAGUUGCCCAGGUGUAUCCCUUGCAUAUUUUCUGAGAACAAAAGACCCGCCGGCACACCGUCUACCAAUCCGCCUUUAGAUAUUUGAAUUUGCGUUGCUUCCAUACAUACACUAAAUCAAAAGAUAUUUAUAGGUAC
rnacentral:misc_RNA from 1 species